rnacentral:rRNA from 1 species
UAACCUGCCAAAGAGAUCGGGAUAACACCUGGAAACAGAUGCUAAUACCGGAUAACAACAGAUGAUGCCUAUCAACUGUUUAAAAGAUGGUUCUGCUAUCACUCUUGGAUGGACCUGCGGUGCAUUAGCUAGUUGGUAGGGUAACGGCCUACCAAGGCGAUGAUGCAUAGCCGAGUUGAGAGACUGAUCGGCCACAUUGGGACUGAGACACGGCCCAAACUCCUACGGGAGGCAGCAGCG